AAGUCGUAACAAGGUAACCGUAGGUGAACCUGCGGUUGGAUCAUUAACAAUGGUUUUCAAACCUUAUACUGUGCACUAUACUGUUCUUGGUAGCUCUUGCCCUCAAGCAGGGGCUACCGACAUUUUUAAACAAUGUAUCUAAUGAGUCUUGAAUUUGUAUUAAAAACGUAAAACUUUUGACAACGGAUCUCUUGGCUCUC
rnacentral:misc_RNA from 1 species